GAUGAACGCUGGCGGCGUGCCUAACACAUGCAAGUCGAACGGAGAUUACGGACGGAAGUUUUCGGAUGGAAGACUGUAAUUCUUAGUGGCGGACGGGUGAGUAACGCGUGGGCAACUUGCCCUAUACAGGGGGAUAGCAGCUGGAAACGGCUGGUAAGACCGCAUAAGUCGGUUAAAUCGCAUGAUUUGAUCGGGAAAUGAGCAAUCAGGUAUAGGAUGGGCCCGCGUCCGAUUAGCCAGUUGGCAGGGUAAAAGCCUACCAAAGCGACGAUCGGUAGCCGGACUGAGAGGUCGGACGGCCACAUUGGGACUGAGACACGGCCCAAACUCCUACGGGAGGCAGCAGUGGGGGAUAUUGCACAAUGGAGGAAACUCUGAUGCAGCGACGCCGCGUGAGUGAAGAAGUAUUUCGGUAUGUAAAGCUCUAUCAGCAGGGAAGAUGAUGACGGUACCUGACUAAGAAGCCCCGGCUAACUACGUG
rnacentral:rRNA from 1 species